CCUACGGGAGGCAGCAGUGGGGGAUAUUGCACAAUGGGGGGAACCCUGAUGCAGCGACGCCGCGUGGGUGAAGAAGCGCCUCGGCGCGUAAAGCCCUGUCAGCCGGGAAGAAAAUGACGGUACCUGCAGAAGAAGCCCCGGCUAACUACGUGCCAGCAGCCGCGGUAAUACGUAGGGGGCAAGCGUUAUCCGGAUUUACUGGGUGUAAAGGGGGCGCAGGCGGCGAUGCAAGCCAGGAGCGAAAGCCCGGGGCCCAACCCCGGGACUGCUCUUGGAACUGCGUGGCUGGAGUGCAGGAGGGGCAGGCGGAAUUCCUGGUGUAGCGGUGAAAUGCGUAGAUAUCAGGAGGAACACCGGUGGCGAAGGCGGCCUGCUGGACUGCAACUGACGUUGAGGCCCGAAAGCGUGGGGAGCGAACAGGAUUAGAUACCCCUGUAGUC
rnacentral:rRNA from 1 species